UCCCCCGCCCCACGCACCCCGGAUCGCGCCAGCACCGUUCUCCCCUGGGUGCCGCUCGCGCCACCGCCCUCCUCCCAUGGCCGCUGAUGGCACCGUGUUCCCCUGCCCCCGAGCUCGCGCCGCCGGUCCCCUACAGUUCGAUGACCAACGUGCUUCAGUCCAAAUCCAUAUGCGGGGAGCUGCGAGGAUGAAUUGCUUUUUGGGAAAAUGGAGCUCCAAAAAAAUGUGUCUACAUUUCGCAGCAGGACGAGUGAUUGAUUGCUCAAACAGUCAAACUAGUACUACUGCGAUUGAUCUGGAAGAAAUCCCAGUGCUUGAAGUGUUCGUUUUUACCAUGGAAAUGGAAGAAGAAUUAGUGCUACAAGAGAUUAGUACCUGGCUGCUGCUUGACAGGCUCUGGGACGAGGGGAAUCUGCUGGAUUGGAGGAGCCUUGGCCUCCUCCUGCUUGGGAGCCUCUGGAAUGGUAGUGGCAGGAGGAGUCUGCUGGACUGGUGCAGGAAGCGUAGCCGGGUCGGAUUGAACCAAGGACUGUGAGCCGCCAUUGCUGCUGCUGGAGCUCCUGUUUGGAGAAUUGGCAGCGAUGAGAUGUACCUUGUCCCGAAGCUCCUAUAUCCACUUAUUUGCCCGGAUGUAUGAAUCUGACUGUAAGAAUAAGGUGUGUCCCUCUACAUAUCAAGAGGAAAAAUUGAUUGCCGAGCAUGCUUGUGUUUAUGAAAUUUAACUUUGCUAUAUGUUCACAAAACAGUUCAGUAUCUGUCAGAGACAUAAUUAGGUUUGUCUAUUAAAUGGUAGUUUAGUACACAUAAAUUUGGUUGCGGUUUCGGCGAAAGAAAUUCACAUCAGUUCAAAAUGAGAGACAGGAAAAGUUCGGAGAUAAAUAAUUGAACAUGAAAUGAACUAGUGUGAUUCAAAUUCGGGUGACUCUAUGUAUUUUCUUAUGCUUACAAGAAUUGUAGCUGCCUUCUUGCUUGCUAAUUGCUAUAGCUUACAAUACUUGGAGCAUUUUUCGUGUGUGAUCUGUACUUUAGGUGCUAACAAAAGAAUAUGCAAGGUUAUUCAGAUUGAGGAUCUUAACUAAUCAUGUUAAUGGUUGGUCUUGCUCCCUGUGCAUUUUCACUCACCGAGAGCGACUACUCCAAGAAAAAAAGCCAUGGGAACAUGUUGCCCUCAGUCCUCUCUCGACAAAUCCAGUAGUGCAGGUUCUCCUAUGCGCCAAGUAUUGCCAGCGGCGAUGCCUCCAUCAUUGCUGAAAUGGUGCGAGAUGGCGGCCGCCGACGUCGCUAAAUCCCUAUACAAACUACUAGUUGGCUGCUCCCAGCGGUAAAUGUGGUUGGGUUCAGUAGCUAGCUCUUCCUCGAGCAAACAUUUGGAGAAAUUUAUUGUGUUCUUGUGGUGGUGAUUGACUUUAGGAUCAGUAGCUAGCUUGCGUAUGGAACCUGCAAGUUCAAUAUUGGCAUUAGAUUCAGUUUUUGUUGUACAAAUAUCUUAGUGUUCACAUUUAUUUGGGUAGAAGUUUAUUUUAGUUCAGCUACAGAAACCAUGUAGGUUCACUGAUGAUGAUUC